GAGAGACUAUCAUAAAUACCUUGGCCCAAGAUGUUGAAGUCGUAAUAUGUGAAAGAGGAAGUGGAAAUGAUUUGAAUUUGUAUUACUAACUAGCAUUUGGCCCCUGUUAUGCAGGGACAACAUUGUUUUAAAUUAUAUCUGCUACAACUCUUAACUAAGAUUUUUAAAAUAAAGCAGACAGCAUAAAUAUACAACAAAUUUAUUAUCAUUGACUGAAGAAUAUACAAAGAUUAAGAAAAAGAUAUAAAGAAGGUACAAUUUUUCUACCCAAUGAAUCAAUUGCGAUAGACAGUAACUAACAAAUCAAGAGUUUAGAAAUAUAAGAGAGUAUAAGUACGAAAAUUAUGCUGGGUAUAUACAUGUCCGCUUAUUUCAUCAUUAGCUCCAACCAAUUGUAAUGUGUUCUUCUUCUCAUCAUCAGUAAUUCAGUUUACAAACAUUCGUUGACACCCAAAGCUUGGAAGUCUAAAAAAAAAUGUAAAAUGUGCACAAGUAAGUAAUUACAUGACGCAGACGCUGCCUUUGAAACAAUAUCAAAGAUAUUGCAGAUAUAAAGAAGUAAAAUAAGAGAUGACUUUAAAAUUGAAGUAUUUGUAUU
rnacentral:sRNA from 1 species